rnacentral:misc_RNA from 1 species
AUUCGAAUGAGAUUUUCACACUUGAGACGCUUGUUUGCAGCUUCAGGCAGUACGGACCAAGGACAAGAAGGGCAAUGCAAAACUUCACCUAAAAGAGUACAAUGACUUGGAGAUGCACCAACUUUUCAAGCUAAAUUUAUUUUGAUGACAAAUGAUUUUCGAUUCUUGAUAUGAUGCAGUGAAAACAUGCAAACACAAAUAAAAUCUCUAGUGAAAGAUGAAAUCACAGGAAGCUUGAACUCUAUUCUCAUACCCAACAAAAGACACAUUUAUAGUGAAUCGUUCGCUAGAUAGGUGAUGUAACCAUAGCUGAAUAAUACCAUAAUGCAUAUUUGCCAACAAUGGUUACGUUGAUUAAGGUAAUAUAUACUGAGUUGUAAUAGAGUUGGAUAUCAUGUAAAGAUAUCUAGAGUGUUCCUAUGCUAGCAGAAGUGGAAAAAUACAAGUUCAGUAUGAUCAAAUAGAUCACAAGAAUGUGUAUUUCGAAACUAUGACUGAAAGGCUUGUUCAGCUUAUAUAAAAAUGUUCCUCGGUCCAAGUAUCUUGGAAAAUA